rnacentral:rRNA from 1 species
UACGUAGGGAGCAAGCGUUGUCCGGAAUCAUUGGGCGUAAAGCGCGCGUAGGUGGCCUCAUAAGUCCGCUGUGAAAGUCAAAGGCUCAACCUUUGAAAGCCGGUGGAUACUGUGAGGCUAGAGUACGGAAGAGGCGAGUGGAAUUCCUGGUGUAGCGGUGAAAUGCUUAGAUAUGAUAUAGAACACCAAUAGCGAAGGCAGCUUACUACGCAGUUAUUGACACUGAGGCUCGAAAGCGUGGGGAUCAAACAGG